rnacentral:rRNA from 1 species
CCUGAUGCAGCAACGCCGCGUGAGCGAUGAAGGCCUUCGGGUCGUAAAACUCUGUCCUCAAGGAAGAUAAUGACGGUACUUGAGGAGGAAGCCCCGGCUAACUACGUGCCAGCAGCCGCGGUAAUACGUAGGGGGCUAGCGUUAUCCGGAUUUACUGGGCGUAAAGGGUGCGUAGGUGGUUUCUUAAGUCCGGAGUGAAAGGCUACGGCUCAACCGUAAUAAGCUCUUGAAACUGGGAAACUUGACUGCAAGACAGGAAAGUGGAAUUCCUAAUGUAGCGGUGAAAUGCGUAGAUAUUACGAGGAACACCAUUAGCGAAAGCGGCUUUCUGGA